rnacentral:rRNA from 1 species
AGACCCGAAACCCGGUGAUCUAGCCAUGGGCAGGUUGAAGGUUGGGUAACACUAACUGGAGGACCGAACCGACUAAUGUUGAAAAAUUAGCGGAUGACCUGUGGCUGGGGGUGAAAGGCCAAUCAAACCGGGAGAUAGCUGGUUCUCCCCGAAAGCUAUUUAGGUAGCGCCUCGUGAAUUCAUCUCCGGGGGUAGAGCACUGUUUCGGCUAGGGGGCCAUCCCGGCUUACCAACCCGAUGCAAACUGCGAAUACCGGAGAAUGUUAUCACGGGAGACACACGGCGGGUGCUAACGUCCGUCGUGAAGAGGGAAACAACCCAGACCGCCAGCUAAGGUCCCAAAGUCAUGGUUAAGUGGGAAACGAUGUGGGAAGGCCCAGACAGCCAGGAUGUUGGCUUAGAAGCAGCCAUCAUUUAAAGAAAGCGUAAUAGCUCACUGGUCGAGUCGGCCUGCGCGGAAGAUGUAACGGGGCUAAACCAUGCACCGAAGCUGCGGCAGCGAACGUAUCACUUAAAGCGAUUCAGCGGGUUACGAUUGACGGAGCGAAGCGACGUCAAAGCGUAUACAAAGUCGAGUCGGUUUAAGGAUACGUUCGUUGGGUAGGGGAGCGUUCUGUAAGCCUGUGAAGGUGGCCUGUGAGGGUUGCUGGAGGUAUCAGAAGUGCGAAUGCUGACAUAAGUAACGAUAAAGCGGGUGAAAAGCCCGCUCGCCGGAAGACCAAGGGUUC